rnacentral:lncRNA from 1 species
CAAGUGCCAAGCGAUUCCCAUUCUCCUGCUUCAUCCUGUAGAGUAUUGGCGUACCAAACUAAUAAUAAAACUCUCUUUAUUACACACAAAAUAACUCUCAUUCACAUACACCCAUAAGACUACAAACCUCACACACUCACUCACUAUUUCACUACACCUCAAAGCACUUUCUCACCUCACACCACCACUCACACCCUUACUUCACUAUAUCUCACUCUUCACUCUCCAGGCACACAUGGUGUGGGAGCCUCACAUCUAUUUAUAGGCUCCCAACCUAUCUACAUCAGCACUCUAGAAUAUUCUAGAGUACUUGCUUCUAGAACUCACUAAAGUGCUCUAUUAGCAAGUAGAGAGCACUUUGUUCCUAGAGUUUUCUAGAGUGCUCCAUUAGCUAGUAGAGAAUUGGAAAGGAAUAGAGCAUUCUAGAAUGUUCUAUUGAAGAGAGAGAAAGAGUUGCCUCUUUCACUUCCCUCCUCUUUUUUUUACUGAGAAUUCUUUUCUUAAAAUUCUAAGUGUUCUAAUUGCCAAUUCUAAUUUUCAUUUUAAUAACGAAGUAAAUAUUUUUGAAUAAUUCACCAUUUUAAUGCAAUUCAUUUUUAUUUCUCAUUCUUAGGGGCUGUUUGGUUGGAUGUAGUUACAGAAACAGUGUAGUUGGAAAUACAUGCAGUUGCAAAUGCUGCAGUUGUAACUAGUCUGUUUGGUUUUACGCAGUUGCAACUGCUGCAGUUACAUUUCUUCUGUUUGGUAAUAUGAAGCUGAUAGUUGUAUUUGUGAAUUUUAUCAUAUUUUCAGAGAGAGUUGUGAUAUUACCUUCACUAGACAUAAAAUAAUUGUAUAAGUUUAUUAAUCAUUUAAAUUUACUAUAAAUAAGUAGAUAUAUAUAAUAUUCUUCAACUUAUUAAUCAACACAUUUAAAAUUUUUAAUUUAUUUAAUUUUAAUAUGUAAAUCAAACUUUAAAAUUUAAACGAUUCUCUCAUUUUUUUUAUCAAAUUUAAUAAUUAUAAUUAAUUAAAACUUAUUAAAUUAACAUACACGAUCACAUUCUAUAAAAUUUUUUUAAAAAAACUAUAUUUAUAUUUUAAAUAAAAUAAAUUUAAAAAAUUUAAUUUUUUGCACAAAGCUUGUAUUGUCUAAAAAAAUUUAUUAGUAUGAGUUUAUUUACAAGUAUUUUUAUUUACCUAUAUACAUAUAUUAUUUAUUUAUUUAGCUAUUUAUUUAUUUAUUUAUUAUUGUUAAUUUGUGGGUGAUCCUAUCCCUCACCAACUGCUGCAGUUGGAACUACGGCCAAUUUGGAUGUAGUUCCAACUGCAGCAUUUGGACCUUCUUGUGUAGUUGGAACUGCAGCAGUUGAACUCAACUACACUAGACCAAACAAAGGAAUUAAGGCUGCACGCAUUUACAACUGCACUGCAGUUGCAAAUGCGUGCAACCAAACAGCCCCUUAUUCUAACUAUGAACUAAACAUGCCUAUAUAGUUAGGCUUAUAGUAAGUACAGUCCUUUGAAUAGUAAAGAGUUUCUUGAAAGUGAAAAAUAGGCACACUGACCGUUCCUAACACAAGUGGCAAAGGUUUUGAUAGUUGGUGCCCGAAGUCUCAAAUUCGAAGUAGGGAUGGAAAUGGAUCCGNAAAAAUAGGCACACUGACCGUUCCUAACACAAGUGGCAAAGGUUUUGAUAGUUGGUGCCCGAAGUCUCAAAUUCGAAGUAGGGAUGGAAAUGGAUAAAAAAAAAAAAAGCUUCCGCCCCGAUCCACACCAAAUGAGGCGGUAAGUGGGAAUAAAAAAUUUUAAAAAAUAUAAUCCGUCCCGAAUCUGCCUCGAUCCGCCAAGUAAAUAGAGCUGGAGGCGGGAGACCCUUUUCUUCCUUCAAUCAGUUUCAAUCCAUCAAAAAUUCGCCAAAAAUUUGCUCCCGUCUCGAUCUGCCCCGAAUGGGACGGUAAGUGGAAGCAAAAAAAAUAAAAUAAAAAAUAACCUGCUCCGAAUCCGCCUCGUCCCGGCAACAAAUGGAGCAGAAGGUCGGAAAACCUUCUCGCUCCUAGAUCCGCCCCGUUUGCAUCUCUAGUUUGAAGGCUAAUAACUUCACUUUCCUAACUAAAUUUAUUUUAAAAAAAUAAAUGAGGCGCUCAAAACUGAAAAAAAAAUAUCGAGUUUAAAAAAAAUAAUAAGCGCGUGUUUGCAUUAAAAAUAAAAAAGUAGGAAUAAUUGCCUAUAUACCCCUCAUACGUUUGAAAAUAUCCGAUUUACCUCUAUUUUUUUUCUUUCUAAAAUACCUCUCAUAUAUUCCACCGUUAUUGCAAAAUACUCCCGUAAUUAUCUCCUGUUAAGUUAACUUGGGUUAAACGUAAGUUAAAUAUCUAUCACAGUUAAAAAAAUUAAAAUGACAAUUUUUUCAUUAACUUAAGGGCAAAUAAGAAAUAUUGGUGACGGUAGAGAGGUAUAUUGGAAAAGACGAAAAAUCAAAAUACUUUUUGUGCCCCUGACUUUAAGGGCAAAUAAGAAAGUCAGUGAGAGUGGAAGGGUGUAUUUGAAAGGACAAAAUAGUAAUUUUACAGAGGUAACAGAGUUCAUUAACAAAUUUUAACCCUAGGAAUAUAUUAGAAAUAGGUUGGAACGUAGAAAAGGUAUUUUCAAUAUUAAUUUUCUAAGAGAGAUAAAUCGAAAAGUCGGAAACUUUUCCGAAAUAUAUAAGCAAUUGUCCUAAAAAAAUAUGUCUAUAAAAAAAACAAGAAAAUAAAAUAAAAUCUAAACAAAGCGCUAGCGGCAAAUCCCACGCACCGCCAGCUGUCGAUCUUCAACGCCCCGCCUCCCGCUAUCCCGACUGGCGUCCAGACAGCUGGGCUACCACUUGGCAGCGCCAGAGCUGGCAGUGCACUCCGCAACUUCGAGGCGAGAUACAGCGACUCAUCGCGCGCCACGUCACUGAGAGCGGCGCCUAGUGCUUCUCCAUAGCUACCAUCCUCACCGUCCAUUCCACCGAUCCAACGCCGCACGUCACACACACCGCCCCGCUCCUGAAAAAGGCUAAAAGUUUGCAGCCAUACUCAUAUCGCCAUAUCUCCGACCAAUCAAUUUUUUUUUAUAAAAUUCAAAGUAUUUUACCAUAACUUUUAAAAAAUAUUUUAUUUUAUACUCAAAAGAUGAAUUAUAAUUCACUUUAUCUUUCUAUACCUAUAUACCUAUAUAUUAUUUUUUAUAAACUUUACAACACGACAAAACCUUCUUCAUCCUUGUCUUUUUUUUCGAUCCUUAUCUUUUUUUUUUUAUUCCUAAUGAUCGAAUUUAUUAUCUUUUAUCUUCGUCCGAUGUUUCGUCUUCUCACGUGUCCAUUUCUUAAUUAAUAUGUUCACAUUUCAUUAUCAUCUAAAUAAAUUAAUUUUAUAAAAAAUACAAAUAAAAUAAGAUAUAUGUUACCAUGACUAAAGAGGAGUUCGACGCUAAUAAUGGCGCAGCGAAUGAGAAAUGGACAUCAGGAUUCGCCUUCCCGAUAUCGGCAGCACAAUUAAAAUGCAUAUGAAGUAGUGUUUUAUUACUUUUUUUAUUAUUAUUACGUGUAAUUUAUUUGUUGAAAUUAUUAAUAUUGUUAUAUCUGUUUUAUAUCUUUUAUUUGUAUUUAUUGAUUUCUUAUGACAAGUCAAAAAUUUUUAAAAUAUUUUAUUUUGUUAAUUUUCUGUCUCUUAUAGUAUCAGUCCGCCGUAAUAUGCGAGUAACUUUACUAGUAUAAAUAAUGUAUCAUGAUUAUUAUAGAGUAACUUUCUACCUCCUCCCUUGCUAUAUUUUAUUCAAAAAUAAAAUUUUCAACUUUUUUAAUUUUUUUAAAGCAAUGCUAGCCAUACAAAGCUUUUCAUUCUUACAACUUCAACAUUCAAUAGCCACUAUUUUUCUAACUUAUCUUGCCUAUAUUUCUUUUUUAAGCACAAACUACAAAAGAUAAGAUAAAUUACAAGCUCUUGCCUCGGGGCUUGUAAAGAUUGCAAAACAAAAGGUGGUGGUAGGCUUUGCAUUUUUUUUUUUUGAUAAAUUUUAAUUUGUUUUCUUAUGAUUUAGUGUAUUUUUACUUUACCAUCAGAAGGUUCAAAAAAUGAUACAUAAUUAUUCUAUAAUUUUAUUCUUAUUUCACUGAAAGAUAGCAAAGUGAAAUUUUCAACACCACAAAGUGAUAUUUAAUUUAUUAUACGAUAAGUUCUUACAGUGAAACAAAAAUAAAAUUAUACUAAGUGCAUCUUUAUGAAUCACAUGAUAGCAAAGUAAACAUACACUAAACUACAAGAUUAGUAAAAUCAACCUUUUGAACCACACAGUGGCAAAGUGAAAAUGCACUAAAUCACAACUUCUCAUAUUUUGGAAUUAAUUAACUUUAAUUAAAAAAUUAAUUUUUUUCUCAACUUUUUUUUAUAUUAAGAGCAUAUCAACUUCUCAUAUUUUGGAAUUAAUUAACUUUAAUUAAAAAAUUAAUUUUUUUCUCAACUUUAUUAGUAAUUUUAUUAAAUUUAAUAAUUUUAAGCACUUUUAGUAAUAAUUAUAUUUAGAUUAAUUAAUAAUCAAUAACUAAUAGAAUCAUUAAACUCAAUACAAAUCUUAACUUAACUAAAGUCUUAUUAAUUUGGAUGUUUGUAAUAACAUAUGCAACAAUAAUUUGUUUGAUAUAAAUAUUUCUAUUUUUAAUUUUAUAUGAUUAGAAGCUGAGUGUUAGGGACUUAGCAAUCCUUGGUCCAAAUAGGUACCAAUCCAGCAGUUAUUAUGGGAAAUGGAUGGUCAUAUAAUUGUUGGAUUUAAAGGCUCCAAAAUUAGAGGCAGAAACUCUAAGGUCAUAGGAUAACUCUUGAGUUCACAUUGUAAUUAUGAGAGUUUUUUUUUGUUAGUGGACUUAAUAAGUGAGUAAUUGUGGGUGGUUCGUGGUCAAGUUUAAUAUUCCUAGAGCCUAUAAAUAGGUGGGUUGGCAAAGGCAAAGAGAGUAGGGAGAGAAGAGAGGGUGUAUUCUGUAUUAUCUUUUUUUAAGUAUCGGAGUAUUAAUUUAGUGUUUGCAAAGCUUGUAUCGUUUUCUUUUAUUUUCUCUUUCUUGAACCUAAUCUUUGAGGGCGCGAAGGUUGGGAGUAACAGGAUUGAGACAGAUUUGCUUAUCUUCGAGUUGAAAGACAGGCGCCGCACGAACUUUGACGAUCAAACUCACUACGUCCGUGAAAUGAAGCUUUGUUUGAUAUUAUUGUUAUUUUUAAAUUAAUUUUAAAUAAAAAUUUUACAUAAAAUAGUAUAGAAAGGGAUGAUGCAUCACUUUCAAUCCCUCCAUUCAACGGGUUUGCUCAGCCACAAAAAAAAUUAUAUAUAUAUUCGAAGCAAUUAUUUUAUGAUGGGAUGCAAUAAAAGAUAUUUCUGGCGUCUGUAUUGCAUUCUGAAAAGAGAUAAAUUUAUUGAAUAAAAUAUUCAUAUAUUCAAACAAAAUUUUUUACUUAUAAAAACUGAAAUAAAAAGAAAAAAAAAAGAAGUUGAUGAGGUGCGAAAAGGGAAGCAACAAAAAAGUUGAGGGACCAAUUUCAAACGACGUAUAGUUGAGUGGGUCUCGGUACAUUUUUACUCCUCCAUAUGUAUAUAAACCCUAUCCACUGAACUAUGGCGAUGCGCGUGCUCGUCGAUUACCCGUCGCAGUGCGAUGGACUCAGACCCGGACGCGGGGCGGUACUUCGCGGCGUGGUUCGGGGAACUGCGUUCCCUGCGCCGCGAUCUCCGCUCGGCCCGGUUCGAUCCGGACCGGGCCCGGCUCGCUCCGCUGGUCGACCGGGCGCUGGCCCACUACGACGCCUACUACCGGGCCCGGUCCGAGCUCGCCCGGUCCGACCCGGUCGGGGCCUUCACCACCCCCUGGGCCACCCCGGUCGAGCGCGGGGUCGCGUUCUGGGUCGCCGGGUUCCGCCCCACCACGUUCGUCCAGCUCCUCUACACCGAGUCGGGCCGCCGGUUCGAGGCCCGGCUCGAGGACUUCCUCCUCGGGGCCGGGGCCCGGUCCGGGGACCUGGGCGACCUGAGCCCGGUUCGAGUGGACCGGAUCGACGAGUUGCACCGGAGAACGGUUCGGGAGGAGGACGAGAUCGGGGAGGAGAUGGACCGGAUUCAGGAGGGGGAGGGGUUGGACGUGGAGGGCUCAGUGGACCGGAUCGAGAGGGUGAUGGGCCGCGCCGACGCGCUGAGGAUGAGGACGCUGGGCGGAUUGGUCGGUCUACUGAACCCGGUUCAGGCGGCGGAGCUGCUCGUCGCCCUUGCCGAUUUGGAGAUCGGUCUACGGGAGUACGGGCUCGAGCACGAGCACGAGCACGAGCGAGUCCCGGACGAGUGCUGAACCCUUGUCUACGCCCUGCGAGGGUUUUUUUUUUUUUUUUUUGUUUUUUUUUUUUUUUUUUUUUUUUUUUUUUUUUUUUUUUUUUUUUUUUUUUUUUUUUUUUUUUUUCGUCAGCUCCUCCGUUAAUAUUUCACUAAAUUACAUACAAAAAAAAUUUCAGAUAUCCUAUCUAACUUUAUAAAAUAUUCACUUUAGUACUUUUCAAUUUUAACUUUGUUACUGAUUUAACAAAAAAAAAUUAGCAAAAUGAAUAAUAAAAAGAGAAAAAUAAAACAACAAAAUACUAAAUUGAUAUAUUUAAAAUUAUAAAGUACUAAAGUGAAAAAGUGUGAAACCAUAAGAUAAUAUUUGAAGUUUUCUCAUUUUUUUUAAUAUAUAUAUUAUUAUAGUUUAGGUAUUGAGUUAGAACACCCCUACGGCUUCGUUUGGUUCGGUUGUAAGUAAGAACUAGUAUAUACCAGGGAUAGAUACAAAUUUAGGUACGUAUAAGCGAGAACUAAACCAAUUUUGUGUUUGCAUGAAAAUUUGGUUGUUUUUGGGAAUAAAAAGAAAUAAUGUUUCGAUGGAUAAGAUGGAAUAAGAAGAAUAAUUGAUUAUAAAUUUAGAGAUUACAAAAUUUAAAUUUUAAAAAUUUAAAUGAUAAUUUAAAACAAAAAAAUCUCUCUCUCUCCCGGAGAAACAAGGGGUGGGAACAAGCUUGUUCCCAUCCCCCACUAUGGGUGGAAACUGGGAACAAUAGUUCCCUCCCACCCAACUUCGUGUUUGAGUACAAGUGGGGGAUAAGACCCUUGCCCUCCAUAGAUCUUAUACCAAAUCCAAACGGUACCUAGAAGUAUUUUGGCAGCUAUAAUUGUAGGAUUUAAAAAUUAAAAAUAUUGAUCCAAUAAUCAAAAAGUAUUUAGAACUUAGAUACUUUUAAAAAUAUUUUAUCUGAAACUUACUAUUCAGCAUACAAAAAUAUUAUGCAGAGAUGAUGAAGAAGAUAAUUUAUAGAUAUAAUUCAAGACACUAGAUGGAUUUGCUAAUAUAUAAAUAGCAUUAUAAUAAAAUUUUAUCUGGCCUCUUAUGCUUAAAAAAGAAAUUGGACCAGAUCAAAUAUGGUCCGAAAAAUAAUAAUAAUAAUUGAAUACUAUUCAACACGAUUCUAUUGUUUGCUUUGUGUGAUAAAAUGGUUUUGCACUCAAUAUUAUUUAAUUAAUAUUACACCACACUAGGAUUUUAAUUUCCUCUAUUUUUGAAAUAUUUCCUUUUUUACUUUUUCUAGCUUUAUAAUGUUUUUAAGAACAUCUCUACAUAGGGAUUUAUGAUUUUAUUUAAUCAUAUUUUGGAAUAUAAUUGACAAUAUUUCCGAUUUUAUUUAGUGGCCAAACGUAAAUAAAAGGCCACUAAAAAAAAAAAAGAACACUAUCAACGGUCAAGAUUAACUACCGCCACAAAAGUUUUAUACAUUUAUUGAAAAAUAGGGUGCUAAAAAGUCAACUACACUUACAAAUGGCUAAAUUUAAAUUUUGUCACUAAAACUAAGUAUAAAUUGUGACCACUGUAUAUAACCCAAUAAAUUACUUACAAGCACAUUACAUUACCCAAUAAAAUAAGAUUGAUAUAGUUUUAGCCAAUGUUUUAAAAUCCAAGUCCAGUUGCCAGGUUUGGCAGGUUCGACCAAUUAAUAAAAUAAUUCAUUUCAACCAUCAAAAUCAGAUAAGCCAAAAUUUUCUUUGAACCAUUCGAGCCUCUGGUUCAACUAGAUUUUUCUUUGUUUCUAUUUUUUAUUCAUUAGUAUAAUUAUUAAUUUUAUUUGUGAGUGAUUUUUGUUAUUUUUGUUUUCUAUUAUGUGAAAUAAAAUUUGAAAACUUGUAUCUACUUUAUUUGAUUUAGUAAUCUGUAUUUUAUAAUUAACUAUAAUACCAAAAUAAUAUUAUGUAUAUCCAUACAUACUUUCAUUCGUUAGAUCAUACUAUACAAUCAAUCAUCACUCAACCGUAGGGGACCAUUGUCCUCCUAACUGCACAUAUCUUCAUCUAAGGAUAGAAAACCUAAUAGCGCAAAUCGCUUGGUACUAUUAAUAAUAUAGUAGUCUAAUUUUAUAUGGUACUAUUUAUAGCAUAGUAUAUAAUCAAUCAUCACUCAACCCUAGGGGACCAUUGUCCUCCUAACUGCACAUAUCUUCAUCCAAGGAUAGAAAACCUAAUAGCGCAAAUCGCUUGGUACUAUUAAUAAUAUAGUAGUCUAAUUUUAUAUGGUAUUAUUAAUAGCAUAGUAACAUAUAUAUAUAUAGAGAGAGAGAGAGAGAGAGAGAGAGAGAGAGAGAGAGAGAGUUGAGCUAGAAUACUAUUGAUAGCAAACGGGCUCCGUUGCCACUUAUUUGUUUUCGAUGAUAGAGUUUCCAAAUCGACGAUCGGCACCGUUGAACAUAAUCUAUACCACUUGAAGUAUUUAGAAAUCAAACUUCAUAUAUUUUCGAUAUUGUUCUCUUAUCUAUCGAGUGGACACAAAAAUGAACGGCUGAAAAUAAAUAUUCUUUAAAAAAUGAUGAUAGGAGUCUUGUAAUCAAGAUUAAGAGUAUAGAUUUUGUAUUAAAUAGUUUAAAAAAUUUUCUAACAAAAAUUCAAUUGAUGUGGAUAUUUUUACGCCAUUAAACGAGAAAACACCUCAUAUCGACCAUUAAAAUUACAAAUUUUGUAAUCCUUUGAUCAUGAGGGAAAUGAUGUCGAAAAGAUUUGAAAUUUGAUUUCUAAACACUUCAAGUGGUAUAGAUCAUGUUCAACGGUGUCGAUCGUCGAUUUGGAGGCUCUAUCAUCGAAAACAAAUGGAUGACAACGGAACCCAUUUGCUAUCGAUAGUAUAUAUAUAUAUAUAUAUAUAUAUAUAGGCUAGAGCUACUGUACUUAUAUGAGUAUACAGCCCUUUGUACUCAUAAGUUUUCAACCGUUCAGAUGAAAAAAUAUACGGUUAUGAUGAAAGUGGUUACAGUUAGGUUGAUAGUGGGCCCCCUAGGGUUGAGUGGGUGGUUGGUUGAAUAGUAUAAUAUAGUAGGUCUUGUGUGCUAUUAGGAGUACGGAGGCCUCCGUGCUCCUAAGCCGUUUUCGAUAGUAGAGCUUCCGAAUCGACGAUCGGCUCUGUUAGAUUUGAUAUAGAAUAUUUAAAGUAUUUAGAAAAUAAAUUUUGUAAUUUUUCGAUAUUAUUUACCUAGCGAUCGAAGGGGUUCAAAAUUAAUAAUUUUUAAUAGUUGGUUUAUAUGGUUUGCAAGUUUAACGGUAUAGAAGUAUUCAAAUUAGAUAAAAUUUUGAUAGAAAAUUUUUUAUCUUAUUUGCUGCAAGAUCAAUAUUUUUAAUCGAAAAUUUUAGUGUUAUAUCAUUACUUGUUGUGAGAUUUUUAUUUUCAGCCAUUGAUUUUGAACCUUUUCGAUCGCUAGAUAAAUGAUAUCGAAAAAUCACAAAAUUUAUUUUCUAAAUACUUCAAAUAUGUUAGAUCAAAUCUAACGGAGUCGAUCGUCGAUUCAAAAAUUCCAUAAUCGAAAACGGCUCAGGAGCACGGAGGCUUUCCAGUGCCUUCCUUAAUGUACACAAGGCGCCUACUGAUAAUAUAUAUAAUAUAUAUAAUAUAUAUAUAUAUAUAUAUAUAUAUUAUUAUAUAUAUAUUAAUCUGACUGGCUGGUAUGCUUAUGGAAGCAGGAGCGCGUCCGUGCUCCUCCAAAUUUGUUUCGAUUGGUUCGACUUUCAAUCGACGAUCGGCUCUGUUAGAGUUGAUCUUAGAGUAUUUGAAGUACCCCUAGAACAAUAAAUUUUGUAAUUUUCGAUAUCAUUUUGUCUAGUGAUCGAAGGGGCUCAAAAUCAAAUAAUUUUUAAGGGCCGGUGGUGAGACCGGUUUCAGUUAACGGUGUAGAAGAUAUCCAAAAUCACAUAAAAAUAUUUGAAUAGAACAAUUCUUUAUUACCAUAUAAAAACCAAGAUGAAUAAUUUUGAUCAAAAUUUUAAUGUCAAAUCAUCAUAUUUUUUAAGAUUUUUAUUUUCAGCGUUGAUUUUGAGCCACCUUCUUAUCACCUAGGCAAAUGUAUAUAAAAAAUCGCAAAAUUAUUUUCUAAGAUACUUCAAAUACUCUAGAUCAAAUCUAAACGGAGCCGAUCGUUCGAUUCCGAAAUCCGAACGAUGAGAAACAAAGUGGAAGCACGGAAGCCUCCGUGUCUUCCAUAAGAAUCCUUAGCAGCCCAUCUAUAUAUAUUAUAUAUAGUAUGAAUAUAUAUAUAUAUAUAUAUAGUAUAUAUAUAUAUAUGACUUCCGGUACGUAAUAUUCUUAUUAGACCAGAUCGCCCCCCUCCGGUACUCAUAGUUGGUUUCGAUGAUAGAGAUUCCGAUCAACGAUCCAUACCGUUAAACAUUAUCUAAGAGAUUUAAAACUUUUAGAAAUGCAAAUUUUAUAAUUUUUGACUCAUUUAUCUUACGAUGCAAACAGCUCACAAAUUGAUAAUUUUUAACGCCGCUAUGGAAAUUAACGAUGUUAAAGAUUGAAUAGGUUGAAUUUUUGAUAGAAAGCUUUUAUUCGACUACCCUAGAUCAGAUCAAUAACCUGGCCGAUCUCUAAAUUGAAAGAUUCGAUCAUGCCAUUUUAGGACGGUCGUUCCGAUUUUGAGCCGAUUUAUUUAUGCUGUUGAUGAGUACUUUAUUAUGAUUUCGAAGAAAAUUACAGAACAUUUAUUUUAGAAGUUUCAAAUACUCUAGAUUAUAUUUAAGGAAUGGGCAGUCGUGAUGUCGGCAAGCCCCAUCAUCGAAAACAACAUAUGUGUAUGAGGGCAGAUACUCAUAGGAUAGUAGAUCCUACUCAUAAUAUAUAUAUAUUAUAUAUAUAUAUGAUUAUAUAUAUAUAAUAUUCAUAUAUAUAUAUAUAUAUAUAUAUAUAUAUAUAAUUAUUGAUAUAUAACUAUUUUCUACCACCUACUCAAAUUUAAUGAGUAGUUAGAAUGGGAAAUGUGGACGAUAAUUGGGAAGAAACUUGGAGGUAUCUCAAUUCUCUUGCUUCUUCGAUAUCGUCUUCUAUAUCUCUUCCUCUCUCGAUAUCUAACCAGUCUAUCAAAAUUGGAAUGGGGUAGUUAGAAAGUUAGAGUUAAAAGAACUGCUGUAUACUUGCUUAAUAGUAUAAUACCCGCUAUAUAGUAUAUAUAUAUAUAUAUAUAUAAUAUAUAAUAUAUAUAUAUAGAUAGAAUUUACAAGUAAUAUGAUUAUUGUUUAAAGUUAUGCUGCAUUAAUGGCUCCAUGCUAUUAGUUGGAACCACGAGAUAGGCCGUGUAAAUGAUGCCGAACACGACUGGCUCUUAAGAUAUCGAGUCGAAAUUCGAGCAUCGGUGUUCGGCUCUUACAUAACGAGCGCGAAUAUAGUUGACUUACGAGACUGGCCGAACGGAACAAUAAGUUAAAAAAAUUAAUUGAAUAAUUAUAAAAAAUAAAUUAUAAAAUCUUAUUUCAUUAGACUUUGAUUAAUAGUUAAAACUUUACAUAUAAAUGAGUUUUUUUUUUUAUAAUUAAGCUCGCUUUAUAUUUUUAUUUGCUAAAAUUAAUAUUAAAAUAUAUAUUAUAUAUAAUUUAUUUAUUUAUAUAUAAAAAUAUAAAUUAAAUAAAUUAUAUAAAUAUAAAAUAUAUGUAUUCGAGCUACUUAUCGAGCCGAAUACGAGCAACAGCUGACCCAGCUCGUGGUGUCGGCUCGUUUACAAACGAGCGAUUCGAUCUCGAUCUGCAUUUCGAGGCGAACACGGAGCUGCCGCUCGCGUAAGCGAGCGAGAUUGCCACCCCUAGCCACAGGUUAAACCAGUAAUUUUUGACUUAGUAAUAUUUCAGAAUUAUUACUCUCUGAUGUCCUUUGUAACCAUUAGUUUUAACUAUUGUAUUUGUUAUCUGCAUAAAUUUUUGGUAUAAAUGUCUUAUAAUAAUUAAGAUUAAAUGAAUCAUGGAGGGUCACGCAUGCAUUACGUCAACGUGCACUGCGGAGACAUCCAACGAAUAGAGAGUGCAAGGACGGACGCCGGAAAGAACAAUCCGGGGACGACGAACUCGUGAUCUGCAGACUUGCAUGUCGGACACGUGGGAGCCAGCUGUCGGCUGCCCGCGGAAGAUAGCAUGUUAUGCUCGCGGCUGCAGACUGCUGCAGCAAGAAUCUUUUGCUGCCGUCAUUAGGCGUGCAGGGGGCGAUGUUCGACCUCGUCAUACUAGCAUCGCCGGCUGUUCGGGAGAUAGAUGUCCACCUCUUGUUCGGCUCGAGAAUGAGUUCGAAAUUAAUUACUUGUUAAGUAAACGAGCUGAAUGCGAGCUAAUUUUUUAUGUCGAAAUUUUAAUGAGCCAAAUGCGGACUCUCACUACUGUUCGCAAGCUAUCUCGUGUUCGGCUCGAGAUGAAUCGCUUGCUAAAUAAACGAGUGGAAGACGAGCUAAUUUGUCGGAUUGAAAUGUUAACUAGCCAAACAAGAGCUAGCAUUGGUCAACAAUGAUGAUUAGUCGUGGGAUCCACUAUUGUGCAUAAUUCAAGAAUCUUUAGGGUUGGUUUAAUGACCAAAAAUGUUAUAACACUAAUAUCUUAGUGCUUUCAAAAAUGCCGUGAUCAAAUUCUCUCUCUCUCUUACAAAUUUUUAUCAUUUGAAUUUGAGCCCAACCCAAAUAUAAAAAAAAAACUUAUAUUUUGUAAAUUUUAAUUUAUUAAAUUAAGAUUCUAAUUUUUUAAUUUUCUUUCAAAUAUUCAUGACCCAAUAGUAAGUUUGACAAUCUAACUAGUUAUUCGGGAGCCGGCUCGUGAACACGAGAUGGUUUUUCCGCCUGAGAUGACUUGUUUAUUAAUGAGCUGAAGAUUUUUAGCUCGAUAUAUUAACUAGCCAGCUCAUAUUUGUCUAGUUUAUUAAAUGAGCUGAAAACAAGUUAACGCUCGUGUUUCGCUGGUUGACAGCCCUAGCACCAGCACUCUAUAAAAAAUAUACACAAAUUUUCUAUUUUAUAUUUUAAAAGAUUCCAAAAUAUUCAAUUGUUUUAUUACUUUUUAAUACUAAAAAUUUUAAAUUUUUCGGAUGAUGAAACCUAAAACUUACAUUCUAUAAAAAGACUUAUAUUCUAUAAUAAAAUGUAUACAUAGUAUUUUAAUACUAAAAAUGAAAAGUAUUUUUAAAAUUUUUAAAUGAUGGUGCCUAAAAACCACACUCUACAAUAGAGUGUAUAUAUAAUAUUUUUUAUAUAUUGUUAAUAUGGUUGGGUCAUAUAUAUUAUAAAACAGCUACAUAAGUUUGGCAAAUGAAUAAUUCAUAAAUUUUAAUAUAUCUAUACAAACUAUAAUUUGACAGUUUUGGAUAGUAUACGUGUCAACCUCUCUUUCUUCCUGAAAGUAUAAUUCUUCCAUGUCUUGGAAAUGUACAUUCUCAAAUCUUCCCUUCUUCUUGGAAAUCUGUCAAAUCUUCCUUUUUUGAGAAUCUAUCAAAUUUUUUGAAAAUCUACCAAAUCGAAUCUACCAAAUUUUUUAAAAUCUCCCCCCUCUUGAAAAAGUACCAAAUCUUCCCCCUGCGCCUUAGGGAAGUAAUAUAAAAAUCUGCUUAGGGGUUUUGCAGGAGAGGAGGGAGAAAGAGGGGAGGGGCGGCCACGCUUUUCGGUGAGGACUAUAACUCCUCAUGGGGUGGUGAUGGAGGAAGAGAAAAAGGCAAAGAUGAUGGCCUCUGCGAUGCUGAAGAGAUGGGUCGUGUAGGGUCUCGGACAACCUAUGAUAUCCACUUCUUCUCAUACUUAGUCUUCUGUGCCUUUUUUUUCCUGAUUAUAUUAUUAGAUUUGCUAAAAAAAAGUAUUUUUAAGAUAUUUUUCGCUAAAAAAAUAUUUUUUAAGAGAAAAAGAAGUUUUUCUAUUUGUUGUGGCUUAAUUUUGAGUAAAUCUCUAAUAUAUAAAUAAUUAUUUUGUUAUUAUUUAUUAAUAAUUACUGUAUAUUUACUGUAAAUUUUUUUUCCACAGCGAAGCGCCGGUCUUUAACUAGUAAAUGAGAAUCUAACAGCUCAAAAGCCUGAUAUGAAAGAGUGCUGCAGAGUGAGAAAAUUAUGUCACUAAUUUCUUAAUACCGAUAAAUGGAUCUAAUUAAGUAUCUGGGGCUAGAAAGUUAGAUUUUGAUAAGUUAGCAGUAUUAAUGGGCUAAAUCAUUAUAAAGCUAAUAAAAAUUCUAAAAUGAAUAAUUUUUAUUUUUUUUUUAACAGAAAAAGGUAGCAUGCUAUUCGCUUCAUUUAUUUUAUUUAGAAAUAAACUUAGCUGAAAAUUUGAAUCAAUUAGGAUUCGAAUUUGGAUCUCGGAUACCAACCACCAAGCCUUUUUACCACUUGCGUUAGGGAUUUGUUAAUUGUUAACAUACUAACAAUGUGCGAAGGUUACAUUUUGGGGACCCACUGAACUUAAAAGACGAGUAUUGCUCUUUUUCUUAAGGCUAGAGUUCCUAUCGUAGGCUAAUUGAGCAUUUGCCAAAAAAGAGGGAAAAAAAUAUAUUCAACAUAUUCAAAGCAGAAUAUCGCGCUAUUAAGGGCUAACUGAGCUGGUCUUAAAAAAAGUGCCCGUCACACCUUUUGAAGAUCCCACUCACCAAAUAGAAAAAUAAUAUCUAAGUUAGUUGGAAAAGUUUUAAGACGGUGUUACCACAAGACAGUUUCACUAUAUUACAAAAGAAAAAUACUAUUUGUACACUCCAAUCAGAGUGUACAAGAUUCGCUCCAUCCAUCUUAAUAGGUGGAAUGAUUUUACUAGUCACUUGAUGUGACUAGGAAUUCAAUACCAUCAAUGUUCUUAAAAAUAUCAGUACUUUUUUAUGGGGAGGUUGAGUCAUACUCAAAAUUACGGAAGGCUGGAUUGGGCGGAGUCAUGUUCAAAAUUAUGUAAGACUGUUUGGACUGAAAGUCACAAUCGAAAUCUGUAAUGCUAUGUAUGUACGCUUUACGUUAAUCGAUAGUACCUUUGGAAUAGAUCGACCUUCUAAGAUUAAUGAUUAGCAUUGUCAAUCCUACACCUCUGCCAUAAAAUGGAAACGAGUGUUGAUGUUAUUAAGAAGAACUACUUUUCUAUACAGCCUGCAGUAAGCUAUUUUGACUAAAGAGAACAGAGGCUGCAUGCUGAACCCUAAACCUAUCCUAACAGCUGAACAUCUGCCCAAUGGACUAAAUGAAAUAAGGCUGAAAGAACAUCGAUUCUUUGAAAAUGAGUGCCAAGUAAGAAACAAGCUUUAGUUCCAACAGAACGGUCGGCUCCUUAAAGGAGCUACCGUUGUUGUUGUUGUUGGCAUGAAAAGCCUUUUGGAGGCUACUUGUGUAAGUGACAGAAGAUUUAGUGGUUGGUAUCCGAUGUCUCAAUUUGAAAUUUAAUUGAUUCAUAUUUUUAGAACGAAACGGAUAGCAUGCUACUUUUCUGUCUCUUUCAAUAGAAAAAUAAAAGAAAAAAAGUCUUUUGGAGCUUUUCUAUCGAAAGCUUUGCUUAGCAUUCGCCUGGUUCACCGACCGUCCCUAGAGCAAGUGGCAAAGGGCUUGAUGGUUGGUGUCCGAGACCCAAGUUCGAAUCCUAGUUAAUUCACAUUUUCAGCUAAGUUUAUUUCUAAAUAAAAUAAAUAAAGCGGGUAGCGUACUAUUUAUCUCUAAAAAAAAAAAAAAAAACAUUCGCNGCCUGGUUCUCCUUUCAAUCACUACCGUCUAACCUUUAUAAAAGUUUGCGCCUUUUAUUUGCUACUUUUGAAAUGGUCAAUAGUUGUACAUGUUUUCUUAAUUACUUCAUGGCUGGGCAACUGAAUUGCUAUACUCCAACUGAGUCUUUAUCCAUCAAAGAUCUUAAAAUCCUAAAUAUACAAUCCUAACAACCUAAGAAAUUAUGCUGAGCAACUGAAUUACUAUACUCCAACGAUCUUAAAAUCUUAAAAAUACAAUCCUAAUAUCGACCAUCCCUAGUGCAAGUGUCAAAGAGCUUGGCGGUUGGUACCCGAGGUCCCAAGUUUGAAUCAUAGUUGAUUCAUAUUUUUGGCUAAAUUUAUUUCUAAAUAAAAUAAACAAAACGGAUAGCAUGCUUACCUAUCUCUCUCUCUCUAAAAAAAAAAAAAAAAAAAAAAACAAUCCUAACAAUUUAAAAAAAUAUAACGCACUACCAAUACAAUUCUAACAAUCAAACAAAAAGUCUAAUAAUCUACAUACAACAAUUCUAACAAUCAAACAAAAAGUCUAAUAAUCCACAUACAAUCCUAAUAACCUUGAAAAUAAUAAAUGUUCACGUCUUUUUAAAGACGGUGAACAAUUCUGAGUUGGCAAAAGAAACGUUAGCUGGUCAAAUAAAAUUUUGAAAGAAUUAUUACGCAAAUUAGAAAUUUUUAUAGAAUUAUUGUAACAAAAAAAAAAUCUUCUUGCCCUUACGCCCGCUGUUUGUCGGGUCCAUAGUGGGAAUUUCUUCUUAGUCUUUUUUUUCAUGUCCUUGCACCUAUGAAUCCUCCCUUCGGCUCUGUAUUGUUUACAAGAUCCUCCUAAUUGGUCUCACCAGAUCACUUAUUAGAAUAGUAGUCCUGAAUUAUAAAAAUCAUUGAUCCAAUACAAAUUAUUAAGUUUGGCCUAACCGAAAGACCACAUCACUUUGGACUGUUAAAUCAUAUAAGACAGCUACUGUUCUUCAAUAACUAAAGUUUAAAGUUUUGAGAGCGCGGUAUUUCUAUAUUUUUAAGUUCAACACUCUCUCUAGUCUACCGACCGUCCCUAGAGUAAGUGGCAAAGGGCUUAUGAUUGGUAUCCGAGGUCCCAAGUUCGAAUCCUAAUUGAUUCACAUUUCUAGCUACGUUUAUUUCAUUUAAAUGAUUCAUUUAAAUGAAAUAAACGAGGCGGGUAGCGUGCUAUUUAUCUCUCAAAAAAAAAGAAAAAAAAACUCUCUAGUCUAGACUCGAGACAUUUUAACAGGAAUAAGACAUGAUCUUAAUUAAAUGGAAGAAAAUCAAAUAGCAUUAGAAGCUUGAUGUGAUUUAAACUCAAGAUCUCAUGUUUUGAUACCAUGUUAAAUCAUACGAUACAAUCAUUGUUCUCCAAUAAUCUAAGUAGUUAGAGAACAAUAUUUUUAUAUUUUUAGGUUUCGUUUGGUUCGAGUAUAAGUAAGAACUGCUUAUUUCAGAGAUAGAUACAAGCUCAAUGUAAACAAGAACUAAAUCAAUUUUGCGUGGAUAAAAAUUGGUUGUUCACGGGAAUAAAAAAUAUAGUGUUUGGAUUAGAUAAAAUAGAAUAAAAAGAAUAAUGGAUAUUUAUAAAUAAAAAAAAUUAUAUUAUCCCUCUCGUUAUAUUUGAAUUCGAAUUUUUAAAAUUUAAAAAUUUUAAAAAUAUAAAACAUCAAAUUUUAAAUUUAUCAAAUUAAAAUUUAAAAUUUAAAAUUUAAAAUUAUAAACUUUAAAAUUAUAAGCUUUAAUUUUAAAAUUACAAAUUAUAAAUUUUAAAAUUAUAAAUUUAAAAAAGAUAGGGGUGAGAACAGGUUGUUCCCACCACCCUUAGUAUUAAUGUUUGGAUAGAAGAGGGGGAUAAGGCCAUCCCAUCCUUAGUAUUGAUGUUUGGAUACAAGAGGGGGGGAUAAGGGCUUUAUCCCCCUUCUGUGCAUCCAAUCCAAACACCAUCUUUUUAAAGUUCAACAACGAGACAUAUCGACUGAAAACCAUUCAGCCCAAAAGUUUAAACAUGUAGAUUUCCAACCUCUUGUUUUUCAUUUCAUGUAAAUUGAACAUGUAGAUUUCCAGCCUCUUAUUUUUCAUUUCAUGUGCAACAAUCUACACGUGAACAUAAAGCUAAAGUAUAGCUUCCUUUCCAAUCCACAUAUGUUAUUUUCACAUAAUGAACUUUUGCAAAUACUUGAAAAUAUGGAAUUAUCACGAAAAGGAAAUAUGGAAAAGCAUACAGAGAAAAAGAUCAGGGGCUGAAAGAAGCUUCAAUGUUUGCUGCGUUAUAGAUGAAAAAUGUAGACUGCCAGAUUCUGCCAGAAUGAGGAUAUUUUUAAUUUUUGUGAUCUGAAUCAUAUACACUUAAACUGAUGUGUAGGCGAAGUGAAAAGUUGAUAGGAUAAAUCAUGGAUUUAAUGUAGAAUAUUGGCGUACCAAACUAAUAAUAAAACUCUCUUUAUUACACACAAAAAAAUAACUCUCAUUCACAUACACCCAUAAGACUACAAACCUCACACACUCACUUCACUACUUCACUACACCUCACAACACUUCCUCACCUCACACCACCACUCACACCCUUCACUAUAUCUCACUCUUCACUCUCACACUCUUGCACUCUCUCACUCUUGCACUCUCUCCAAGCACACAUGGUGUGGGAGCCUCACAACUAUUUAUAGGCUCCCUCCCAACCUACCUACAUAAGCACUCUAGAAUAUUCUAGAGUACUUACUUCUAGAACUCACUAAAGUGCUCUAUUAGCAAGUAGAGAGCACUUUGUUCCUAGAGCUUUCUAGAAUGCUCCAUUAGCUAGUAGAGAAUUGAAAAGGGAUAGGGCAUUCUAGAAUGUUCUAUUAAAGAGAGAGAGAGAGUUGCCUCUUUCAAUACUCCCCCUCAACUCUAACUCUCUCUUAAUGCUACUGUGCUGAGCAUUCCUAAUCGCUUUCGAAACUCUUCAAAUUUUGUGGUGCUUAGUCCUUUGGUGAAUAUGUCGACUACUUGCUCUUAUGUUUUGAUUCUGUUUCAGUGCUUGGAUCCUUUCGUCCAUUGUGUUCCUCCACUUCUUGCUUGUGACUGCUUCUUCGUAGAAGGCCAGCUCUUUUGGAGUCUCUUCUUUUUCGGUGAUAGCAACAUUUGCACACUUAGUAUUGGGCUUUCUUUGCCUAAAAGACCUUCGUAACUGUGUACCUAUAUCUUCAAGUUGGCUUGGUCGAUCUUCUUCUGGGGUUUGACAAUGUACGCCAGUUCGCCAGGGUUCUGGAGACUUCUGGAGUUGCUGCUCAUCACCGGUUGGCUCCAUUGAAGGUUGACCGCUUUCUUCUUGCUCUGACACGGCCUUUUCUUCUUCUUGUUCUUGUUCUCCAAGCUUUCCUUGUAGUUUGAUUUUUAUCUCUUUAGAAUCUGGUAGUAUCACUUCUUGUGAGGACCACCAAGACGACGCUUCAUCGAACACGACAUUUCUCGACGUGUAACAACGACCGGUUGUUAGGUCACAGCAUUUCCACCCUUUUCUUUCACUAUCGUACCCGACGAAGAUACAUCGUAUCGCCUUCUUGUCGAAUUUACUUCGAAGAUGGUCCGGCACGAACACAUAGCACACAUAUCCAAAGACUCGAAAAUGACUUACUGUGGGUUUGAUUUUCCACAGUACUUGAUAGGGUGAGAUGAAUCCUAACUUCUGUUGCGGCAGCCGGUUGAUGACAUGUGCUGCUGUUCUCAUACAUUCUGCCCAAAAUCUGCCUGGCACAUUCUUUGCAUGCAGCAUGCUUCGGCUAGUUUCUGCUAGAUGUCUAUUCUUUCUCUCAGCUAUACCAUUUUGUUGCGGAGUGCGAGGACAUGUAAGCUGUCUUCUUAUUUUGCACUCUCGCAAAUAAGCUGAGAACUCUGUUGAGGUAUAUUCACCUCCAUUAUCCAUGCGCAGGCAUCGUAUUUUAUGGCCGGUUUGGCUUUCAACUUUUUCUUUAAAUUCUUUAAAUUUUUGUAGCACUUCAGAUUUUUCUUUAAUAAAGUAUACCCAGACGUACCUUGAGAAGUCAACAAUGAACGUCACCAUGUAGCGCAUGCCGCUAAUUGAUGAUUGCUUGACUGGUCCAAAAACAUCAGAGUGCACGAGCUCGAGCGGUACCUUGGCUCUAUAUUUAGAUUCAGUGUAGGGAAGUUGAUGAGCCUUACCAAACUGGCAUCCUGCGCAGAUUGUGUCUCCUCGUAUUUCAAGUUGAGGUAAGCCCUUAAGCAUACUGCGCUCCAUCAUGAUUUUCAGUUUGUGAUAGCCCACAUGUCCCAGUCUUGUAUGCCACAAAUCAGCAGUCUCACUUUUUCGAGUCUUUUCUACGUAUGCUGAUUCUGCAGACAUUACGUAUAUAGACUCUACUUUCUUUCCUUCCAUGAUUUGUAUACGAGAUAUCUUGGAACUGCGAAAUACCUUGACAUCUUGUGGCCCAAAUACUACACAAUUGCCCGAUGCAGUCAGUUGUGAUACUGAUAAGAGAUUUUUCUUCAUACCUGGGACAUGGUAGACUUUCUGUAGUUGUACUUGAUGUGGGCUGAAUUUGGGUGUGAUGAUUGUCUUUCCUAUGUGAGUGAUUGGCAGCUUCGAUUUGUUAGCUGUCACCACUACUCUUCCUCCUUUAUAUUCUGUUGUGCUGAGCAGCUUGUCUUUAUCACCGGUCAUAUGAUUGGAACAUCCAGAGUCGAUGAUCCAAUCUGUACUGUAAUUCACCUCUCUUGGAUUUUCUAUUGUUAUGAGUGCAUAUAUUGGUACCUGCUUUAGUAGCUUUUCCUUCUUAGCACCUGGCGUCAUUUCCUCCGUAGCAGUGUUUUCUGACCUUCGUUCUUCGAGAGCCUCUUCUUUGUUUAAGUGACAGUCUUCUUCUGACUCCAUGAUGGCGAAGGAGGCUUGAGCAUCCCACUCUUCUUCACUAUUGUAUGCUGCUUGGUGGUCACCUGAUGUUGCCAUAUUGCCUUGUGCUUGUUUCUUCAUGUGCCAACAGUCUCGGGCGAAGUGUCCUUUCUUGCCGCAAUUGUAACACUCUCUGCUUUGUCGUCUGUCGUAUUUAAACUGCCAGGUAUUUUGCUCCUUCUGGUUGUGGACUCCCCCUAUAAGGUGGCUCUCUCCCAACCUUUGUUUUAACCCACUGAACUCCUUCGGCAGCUUCAAAUUUCUUGGCCCUCCUGUUGCUCGACUUUUUCUUCUACUGCUAAAGAGUGCCUCCUCUUCAUUUUUCAUUGAGACUGCAGCCAUCUGUUUGGCUAGAGCCUCCUGAUUAGCCAGUAAAUUUUCUAGCUCCACCAACGUUGGUUGAGUGGGCCAUCCUCGAACAGCAGUAAUGAACCCGUUAUAUUCGGGUUUUAGGCCAUGAAUAAUAAUUCUCUUCAUCCGCUGGUCACUAAUUUUUGACUCUGGAUCUAAUUGGAAAAUUUCACGGCAGAGAGAUUUUACCUUCAUGAAGUACUGGCUAAUUGUCAUGCUGCCCUGAGAUAUCGUCAUCAGCUCAUUUUCCAGCAGUUGAAGUCGAGCAUCAUUCUUCUUUGAAAAUAACGAUGCGAGGGUGUCCCAUGCAGCCUUGGGUGUAUCUGCUUCCUUGAUAUGCUCCAGCAGCUCUUCUUCGAUUGUCGUCUUCGGGACGAACAUCGCCUUCCCUGCCUUGAUACGCCACUUUCUGAACACCUCUGCAUUCUCCUUUUGUGGUGAAGUUGUUUCAGCACCACCAAUUACCUCCCACAAAUCCUGCCCUUGUAGGUAAGACUCAAUGCAGGUUUGCCAAUAACCAAAAUUAUGGUUAUUUAGCUUCUUAAUUCCGCUAGUUGUACCAACAAGAUCUGCCAUAGUGACUUGGUGAUUGUCCAGCAGUCAACCAAGUAAGUCUGGUCCUAGAUCAACCAACUUCACAGUCCCAGACUGUGCACCAGCAGAAUCUCUGCUUAUAUCGGUAUUUAACUGCCUGGACUGGCAGAAUUUCACCGACUUAACUAGCAGAAUAUUUCCUACAAUCUGGCUCUGAUACCAAAUUGUAGAAUAUUGGCGUACCAAACUAAUAAUAAAACUCUCUUUAUUACACACAAAAUAACUCUCAUUCACAUACAUCCAUAAGACUACAAACCUCACACACUCACUUCACUACUUCACUACACCUCACAAUACUUCCUCACCUCACACCACCACUCACACCCUUACUUCACUAUAUCUCACUCUUCACUUUCACACUCUUGCACUCUCUCACUCUUGCACUCUCUCCAAGCACACAUGGUGUGGGAGCCUCACAUCUAUUUAUAGGCUUCCAACCUACCUACAUAAGCACUCUAGAAUAUUCUAGAGUACUUACUUCUAGAACUCACUAAAGUGCUCUAUUAGCAAGUAGAGAGCACUUUGUUCCUAAAGUUUUCUAGAAUGCUCCAUUAGCUAGUAGAGAAUUGGAAAGGGAUAGGGCAUU